UUCCGUAGGUGAACCUGCGGAGGGAUCAUUACCGAGUUUACAACUCCCAAACCCCUGUGAACAUACCUAUUGUUGCUUCGGCGGGAUCGCCCCGGCGCCCUCGGKYCCGGACCCAGGCGCCCGCCGGAGGACCCAAACUCUUGUCUUUCAUGAGUAUCUUCUGAGUAACAUAAGCAAAUAAAUUAAAACUUUCAACAACGGAUCUCUUGGUUCUGGCAUCGAUGAAGAACGCAGCGAAAUGCGAUAAGUAAUGUGAAUUGCAGAAUUCCGUGAAUCAUCGAAUCUUUGAACGCACAUUGCGCCCGCCAGUAUUCUGGCGGGCAUGCCUGUUCGAGCGUCAUUUCAACCCUCAAGCCCCCGGGCUUGGUGUUGGGGAUCGGCCGCCCUCUCCGGCGCGCCGGCCCCGAAAUCUAGUGGCGGUCUCGCUGUAGCCUCCUCUGCGUAGUAGCACACCUCGCACAMGGARCGCAGCCUGGCCACGCCGUUAAACCCCCCACUUCUGAAGGUUGACCUCGGAUCAGGUAGRAAUACCCGCUGAACUUAAGCAUAUCAAUAAGCGGAGGA
rnacentral:rRNA from 1 species